rnacentral:tRNA from 1 species
GUCUCUGUAGCGCAGUGGAUAGCUCGUUGAACUUCUAAUUCAAAAGGCGUGGUUUCGAAUCCCACCUCGGAUG